rnacentral:rRNA from 1 species
CGGAGGUGCAAGCGUUAUCCGGAUUUAUUGGGUUUAAAGGGUCCGUAGGCGGAUUGGUAAGUCAGUGGUGAAUCUCAUAGCUUAACUAUGAACUGCCAUUGAUACUGCUAGUCUUGAGUGUAUUUGAAGUAGCUGGAAUGAGUAGUGUAGCGGUGAAAUGCAUAGAUAUUACUCAGAACACCAAUUUGCGAAGGCAGGUUACUAAGAUACAACUGACGCUGAUGGACGAAAGCGUGGGAGCGAACAGGAUU